GACGAACGCUGGCGGCGUGCUUAACACAUGCAAGUUGAACGGAAAGGCCCUGCUUUUGUGGGGUGCUCGAGUGGCGAACGGGUGAGUAACACGUGAGUAACCUGCCCUUGACUUUGGGAUAACUUCAGGAAACUGGGGCUAAUACCGGAUAGGAGCUCCUGCUGCAUGGUGGGGGUUGGAAAGUUUCGGCGGUUGGGGAUGGACUCGCGGCUUAUCAGCUUGUUGGUGGGGUAGUGGCUUACCAAGGCUUUGACGGGUAGCCGGCCUGAGAGGGUGACCGGCCACAUUGGGACUGAGGUACGGCCCAGACUCCUACGGGAGGCAGCAGUGGGGAAUAUUGCACAAUGGGCGGAAGCCUGAUGAAGCAACGCCGCGUGCGGGAUGACGGCCUUCGGGUUGUAAACCGCUUUCGCCUGUGACGAAGCGUGAGUGACGGUAAUGGGUAAAGAAGCACCGGCUAACUACGUG
rnacentral:rRNA from 1 species